CRUCGCAKCUAUSAUGSARGUCGAGYGGACAGAUGGGAGCKUGSUCCCUGAUGUUAGCGGCGGACGGGUGAGUAAYACGUGGGUAASCKGCCUGKAAGACUGGGAUAACUCCGGGAAACCGGGGCUAAUACCGGAUGGUKGUUUGARCCGCRKGGUUCARACAKWAAAGGUGGCUUCGGSUACCACUUACAGAUGGACCCGCGGCGCAUUAGCUAGUUGGUGAGGUAACGGSUCACCAAGGCAACGAUGCGUAGCCGACCUGAGAGGGUGAUSGGCSACACUGGGACUGAGACACGGCCCAGACUMCUACGGGAGGCAGCAGUAGGGAAUCUUCCGCAAUGGACGAAAGUCUGACGGAGCAACGCCGCGUGAGUGAUGAAGGUUUUCGGAUCGUAAAGCUCUGUUGUUAGGGAAGAACAAGUACCGUUCGAAUAGGGCGGUACCUUGACGGUACCUAACCAGAAAGCCACGGCUAACUACGUGCCAGCAGCCGCGGUAAUACGUAGGUGGCAAGCGUUGUCCGGAAUUAUUGGGCGUAAAGGGCUCGCAGGCGGUUUCUUAAGUCUGAUGUGAAAGCCCCCGGCUCAACCGGGGAGGGUCAUUGGAAACUGGGGAACUUGAGUGCAGAAGAGGAGAGUGGAAUUCCACGUGUAGCGGUGAAAUGCGUAGAGAUGUGGAGGAACACCAGUGGCGAAGGCGACUCUCUGGUCUGUAACUGACGCUGAGGAGCGAAAGCGUGGGGAGCGAACAGGAUUAGAUACCCUGGUAGUCCACGCCGUAAACGAUGAGUGCUAAGUGUUAGGGGGUUUCCGCCCCCUUAGUGCUGCAGCUAACGCAUUAAGCACUCCGCCUGGGGAGUACGGUCGCAAGACUGAAACUCAAAGGAAUUGACGGGGGCCCGCACAAGCGGUGGAGCAUGUGGUUUAAUUCGAAGCAACGCGAAGAACCUUACCAGGUCUUGACAUCCUCUGACAAUCCUAGAGAUAGGACGUCCYCUUUCGGGGGCAGAGUGACAGUGGUGCAUGGUUGUCGUCAGCUCGUGUCGUGAGAUGUGGGAUAGUCCGCACGAGCGCAYCAUGAUCUAGCUGCAGCAUUCAGUGGGCACUCUAGGGGUGACUGGACG
rnacentral:rRNA from 1 species